rnacentral:rRNA from 1 species
UACAGAGGUCUCAACCGUUGUUCGGAUUCAUUGGGCGUAAAGGGUGCGUAGGCGGCUGCGCAAGUCGGAUGUGAAAUCUCAGGGCUCAACCCUGAAACUGCAUUCGAUACUGCGUGGCUAGAGUGCUGGAGAGGAGACUGGAAUUUACGGUGUAGCAGUGAAAUGCGUAGAUAUCGUAAGGAAGACCAGUGGCGAAGGCGAGUCUCUGGACAGCAACUGACGCUGAGGCACGAAGGCCAGGGGAGCAAACGGG